UGCCCGGUCGUCCAACGGUAGGACCCCACACUUUGGAUGUGGUUAUCCAGGUUCGAAUCCUGGCCGGGCAGCCC
rnacentral:tRNA from 1 species